rnacentral:rRNA from 1 species
AUGAACGCUGGCGGCGUGCCUAAUACAUGCAAGUCGCGCGAACAGACGAGGAGCUUGCUCCUCUGACGUUAGCGGCGGACGGGUGAGUAACACGUGGAUAACCUACCUAUAAGACUGGGAUAACUUCGGGAAACCGGAGCUAUUACCGGAUAAUAUAUUGAACCGCAUGGUUCAAUAGUGAAAGACGGUUUUGCUGUCACUUAUAGAUGGAUCCGCGCCGCAUUAGCUAGUUGGUAAGGUAACGGCUUACCAAGGCAACGAUGCGUAGCCGACCUGAGAGGGUGAUCGGCCACACUGGAACUGAGACACGGUCCAGACUCCUACGGGAGGCAGCAGUAGGGAAUCUUCCGCAAUGGGCGAAAGCCUGACGGAGCAACGCCGCGUGAGUGAUGAAGGUCUUCGGAUCGUAAAACUCUGUUAUUAGGGAAGAACAAAUGUGUAAGUAACUAUGCACGUCUUGACGGUACCUAAUCAGAAAGCCACGGCUAACUACGUG